CAGUAGCCACGGUAAUACGAAGGGUGCAAGCGUUAAUCGGAAUUACUGGGCGUAAAGCGUGCGUAGGCGGUUUGUUAAGUCUGUUGUGAAAUCCCCGGGCUCAACCUGGGAAUGGCAAUGGAUACUGGCAAGCUAGAGUGUGUCAGAGGAUGGUGGAAUUCCCGGUGUAGCGGUGAAAUGCGUAGAGAUCGGGAGGAACAUCAGUGGCGAAGGCGGCCAUCUGGGACAACACUGACGCUGAGGCACGAAAGCGUGGGGAGCAAACAGGAUUAGAUACCCGUGUAGUCCCUGUCUCUUAUAC
rnacentral:rRNA from 1 species